rnacentral:rRNA from 1 species
UCGUGAAAUGUUGGGUUAAGUUCCGCACAAGCGCAACCCCUUGUAACCUGUUGCCACUCCCUUUAUUUGGAAGCACUCUGUUCAGACUGCCCUGUGAAACGGGGAGAAAGUUGGGACGACGUCAAGUCAGUAUGGCCCUUCCGGCCAGGGCUGCACACGUACUCCAAUGCCCAGUACAGAACGAUCCGAGACAAACAAGGUGGAGGAAAUCUAUCAAAACUGGGCCCAGUUCGGAUUGGAGUCUGCAACUCGACUCCAUGAAGCCGGAAUCGCUAGUAAUGCCGUAUCAGCUACGACGGCGUGAAUACGUUCCCGGGCCUUGUACACACCGCC